rnacentral:rRNA from 1 species
GACGAACCGUGCAAACGUUAUUCGGAAUCACUGGGCAUAAAGGGCGCGUAGGCGGCUCGAAAAGUCAGGGGUGAAAUCCGGCAGCUUAACUGUCGCAGUGCCUUUGAUACUGUCGAGCUCGAGGGAGGUAGGGGUCUGUGGAACUUCCGGUGGAGCGGUGAAAUGCGUUGAUAUCGGAAGGAACGCCGGUGGCGAAAGCGACGGACUGGAUCUCUUCUGACGCUGAGGCGCGAAAGCCAGGGGAGCAAACGGG